GCGCUUUUUCUGCCCGCGGUGUCUCAGAUUCAUUCUCAAGGAACUGAGAACUUAAUCUUCCAAAAUGUCAAAAAGACCAUCUUAUGCCCCACCUCCCACCCCAGCUCCUGCAACACAAAUGCCCAGCACACCAGGGUUUGUGGGAUACAAUCCAUACAGUCAUCUCGCCUACAACAACUACAGGCUGGGAGGGAACCCGGGCACCCACAGCUGGGUCACGGCAUCCUCUGGUAUUACGAUUCCAGAACCUCCAAAGCCACCAGAUAAGCCGCUGAUGCCCUACAUGAGGUACAGCAGAAGGGUCUGGGACCAAGUAAAAGCUUCCAACCCUGACCUAAAGUUGUGGGAGAUGGGCAAGAUUAUUGGUGGCAUGUGGCGAGAUCUCACUGAUGAAGAAAAACAAGAAUAUUUAAAUGAAUACGAAGCAGAAAAGAUAGGGUACAAUGAAUCUAUGAAGGCCUAUCAUAAUUCCCCCGCAUACCUUGCUUACGUAAUACAAAAAGUCGUGCAGAAGCUGCUUUAGAGGAAGAAAGUCGACAGAGACAGUCUCGCGUGGAGAAAGGAGAACCGUACAUGAGCAUUCAGCCUGCUGAAGAUCCAGACGAUUAUGAUGAUGGCUUCUCAAUGAAGCAUACAGCCACUGCCCGUUUCCAGAGAAACCACCGCCUCAUCAGUGAAAUCCUUAGUGAGAGUGUGGUGCCAGACGUCCGUUCAAUUGUCACAACAGCUAGAAUGCAGGUCCUCAAACGACAGGUCCAGUCCUUAAUGGUUCAUCAGCGAAAACUAGAAGCUGAACUUCUUCAAAUAGAGGAGCGACACCAGGAAAAGGAGGAAAUUCCUGGAAAGCACAGAUUCAUUUAACAAUGAACUUAAAAGGUUGUGCGGUUUGAAAGUAGAAGUGGAUAUGGAAAAAAUUGCCACUGAAAUUGCACAGGCAGAGGAAUAGGCUUGAAAAAGGCAGGAGGAAAGAGAAAGAAGCCGCAGAGCAAGCUGAACGCAGUCAGAGCAGCAUGGUUCCUGAGGAAGACCAAGCUGCUAGUAAGAGCGAGGAGAAGAAGGACGAGAGCAUCCCGAUGGAGACA